rnacentral:rRNA from 1 species
CCUGGCUCACACCGGUUUAAACUCAGAUCAUGUAAAAUUUUAAAGGUCGAACAGACCUAACUUAUUAGCUUCUACACCAAUAAUUAAUUUUAAUCCAACAUCGAGGUCGCAAUCUUUUCUUUCGAUAAGAACUCUAAAAAAAAUAACGCUGUUAUCCCUAAGGUAAUUUAUUCUUCUAAUCUUAACUUAAGGAUCAUAAAUAUAAGUAUAAUUAUCUUUAUUGAAAGAAAAGUUCAUCCAAUUUUCUCAUCACCCCAACAAAAUAGUGUAAAAUACGCUCAACCCCAGAUCCCUCUCCUAAACAUACCCUUACCUAUAAAACUCUAUAGGGUCUUCUCGUCUUCUAUAAUAAUCUAAGCUUUUUCACUUAAAAAUAAAAUUCUAUUAAACUUUCCUAGAGACAGAAACUCUCUCAUCAAACCCUUCAUACAAGCUUUCAAUUAAAAAACUAAUGACUAUGCUACCUUUGCACGGUCAAUUUACCGCGGCCGUUAAAUAAACUCAGCGGGCAGGCCAAACCUGAAAUAACAAUC